CCUACGGGUGGCAGCAGUGAGGAAUAUUGGUCAAUGGGCGAUAGCCUGAACCAGCCAAGUCGCGUGAAGGAUGACGGCCCUACGGGUUGUAAACUUCUUUUGUCAGGGAGCAAUUGGGUCCACGCGUGGUCUUAGCGAGAGUACCUGAAGAAAAAGCAUCGGCUAACUCCUUGCCAGCAGCCGCGGUAAUACGGAGGAUGCGAGCGUUAUCCGGAUUUAUUGGGUUUAAAGGGUGCGUAGGCGGAAUAUCAAGUCAGCGGUAAAAAUUCGGGGCUCAACCCCGUCUUGCCGUUGAAACUGAUGUUCUUGAGUGGGAGAGAAGUAUGCGGAAUGCGUGGUUGAGCGGUGAAAUGGAUAGAUAUCACGCAGAACUCCGAUUGCGAAGGCAGCAUACCGGCGCCCAACUGACGCUGAAGCACGAAAGCGUGGGUAUCGAACAGGAUUAGAUACCCCUGGUAGUC
rnacentral:rRNA from 1 species